UNCUGAAUAAGCCUGGCACCUGCUGGAGAC
rnacentral:piRNA from 1 species